GGGGGGGGGGGGGGGGGGGGGGGGGGGGGGGGGGGGGGGGGGGGGGGGGGGGGGGUGGUGGGGUGCUCGGGGGGCGAGCGGGGGGGUGACGCGUGGGUGACGUGCGGUUGGCUUUGGGGUACCUUCGGGGAAGUGGGGCUAAUACCGGGUGGGAGCUCCUGCUGCGUGGUGGGGGUUGGAAAGUUUCGGCGGUUGGGGAUGGACUCGCGGCUUAUCAGCUUGUUGGUGGGGUAGUGGCUUACCAAGGCUUUGACGGGUAGCUGGCCUGAGAGGGUGACCGGCCACAUUGGGACUGAGAUACGGCCCAGACUCCUACGGGAGGCAGCAGUGGGGAAUAAUGCACAAUGGGCGGAAGCCUGAUGCAGCAACGCCGCGUGCGGGAUGACGGCCUUCGGGUUGUAAACCGCUUUCGCCUGUGACGAAGCGUGAGUGACGGUAAUGGGUAAAGAAGCACCGGCUAACUACGUG
rnacentral:rRNA from 1 species